rnacentral:rRNA from 1 species
AAUUGCAACAUGGGGGGCAACCCUGAUCCAGCGACGCCGCGUGAGGGAAGAAGGUUUUCGGAUUGUAAACCUCUGUCAACAGGGAAAAUGAUGAUGGUACCUGUGGAGGAAGCCACGGCUAACUACGUGCCAGCAGCCGCGGUAAUACGUAGGUGGCAAGCGUUGUCCGGAAUUACUGGGUGUAAAGGGAGUGUAGGCGGGACGGUAAGUCAGAAGUGAAAAUUAUGGGCUCAACUCAUAACCUGCUUUUGAAACUGCUGUUCUUGAGUGAAGUAGAGGCAAGCGGAAUUCCUAGUGUAGCGGUGAAAUGCGUAGAUAUUAGGAGGAACACCAGUGGCGAAGGCGGCUUGCUGGGCUUUUACUGACGCUGAGGCUCGAAAGCGUGGGGAGCAAACAGGAUUAGAUACCCUGGUAGUCCACGCCGUAAACGAUGAUUACUAGGUGUGGGGGGAUUGACCCCUUCCGUGCCGCAGUUAACACAAUAAGUAAUCCACCUGGGGAGUACGACCGCAAGGUUGAAACUCAAAGGAAUUGACGGGGGCCCGCACAAGCAGUGGAGUAUGUGGAUUAAUUCGAAGCAACGCGAAGAACCUUACCAGGUCUUGACAUCAAGUGACCGUUCUAGAGAUAGGACCUUCUCUUCGGAGACACGAAGACAGGUGGUGCAUGGUUGUCGUCAGCUCGUGUCGUGAGAUGUUGGGUUAAGUCCCGCAACGAGCGCAACCCUUAUGAUUAGUUGCUACGCAAGAGCACUCUAAUCAGACUGCCGUUGACAAAACGGAGGAAGGUGGGGAUGACGUCAAAUCAUCAUGCCCUUUAUGACCUGGGCCUCACACGUACUACAAUGGCGUUUAACAAAGAGCAGCGAGACCGCGAGGUGGAGCAAAUCUCCAAAAAACGUCUCAGUUCAGAUUGCAGGCUGCAACUCGCCUGCAUGAAGUCGGAAUUGCUAGUAAUCGUAGAUCAGCAUGCUACGGUGAAUACGUUCCCGGGCCUUGCACUCACCGCCCGUA